rnacentral:rRNA from 1 species
UACGUAGGGUGCGAGCGUUGUCCGGAAUUACUGGGCGUAAAGCGCACGUAGGCGGUUUGUCGCGUCUGCCGUGAAAGUCCGGGGCUCAACUCCGGAUCUGCGGUGGGUACGGGCAGACUAGAGUGAUGUAGGGGAGACUGGAAUUCCUGGUGUAGCGGUGAAAUGCGCAGAUAUCAGGAGGAACACCGAUGGCGAAGGCAGGUCUCUGGGCAUUAACUGACGCUGAGGAGCGAAAGCAUGGGGAGCGAACAGG